rnacentral:rRNA from 1 species
AGCGCAGACGGUUGAUUAAGUCUGAUGUGAAAGGCGGGGGCUCAACCCCUGGACUGCAUUGGAAACUGUUAGUCUUGAGUGCCGGAGAGGUAAGCGGAAUUCCUAGUGUAGCGGUGAAAUGCGUAGAUAUUAGGAGGAACACCAGUGGCGAAGGCGGCUUACUGGACGGUAACUGACGUUGAGGCUCGAAAGCGUGGGGAGCAAACA